rnacentral:rRNA from 1 species
UACAGAGGCCACAAGCGUUAAUCGGAAUCACUGGGCUUAAAGGGUGCGUAGGCGGUCCCGCAAGUGCUUUGUGAAAUCCCAUCGCUCAACGAUGGAAUGGCUCGGCAUACUGCGGGACUUGAGGUCGGUAGAGGUCGUCGGAACAGUAGGUGGAGCGGUGAAAUGCGUAGAUAUCUACUGGAACGCCAAAGGUGAAGACAGGCGACUGGGCCGAUUCUGACGCUGAGGCACGAAAGCGUGGGGAGCGAACGGG